rnacentral:rRNA from 1 species
AUUGAACGCUGGCGGCAGGCCUAACACAUGCAAGUCGAACGAGUGGCGGACGGGUGAGUAAUGUCUGGGAAACUGCCUGAUGGAGGGGGAUAACUACUGGAAACGGUAGCUAAUACCGCAUACCAUCAGAGGUGCCCAGAUGGGUUUAGCUUGUGGGUGGGGUAACGGCCAACCAAGUCGCCGAGCCCUAGCUGGUCUGAGAGGAUGACCAGCCACACUGGAACUGAGGCACGGUCCAGACUCCUACGGGAGGCAGCAGUGGGGAAUAGUGCACAAUGGGCUCAAGCCUGAUAGAGCCAGGCCGCGUGUAUGAAGAAGGCCUUCGGGUUGUAAAGUACUUUCAGCGGGGAGGCGUUACCCGCAGAAGAAGCACCGGCUAACUCCGUGCCAGCAGCCGCAGUAAUUC